rnacentral:lncRNA from 1 species
GAUUCGAUGGUCCAGAUUUGCAAAUGAUUCAUCUUAGAAAGCCGAUCCUUGAUAUGUGUCAAUAGAAAAUAGUUCAACGAAAUCAGCCUUGACCUCAGACUAAUACUCUUUUCGGCUGACCUUAUAUAAGUUCGGCCUCAAGAGCUCCAAAUCUCUCCGCUUGAGGUCAGACUGCCAAGGUAGAGAUAGUCAAGAUGAGACUACUAUUGGAGCUCCAUCUGAAUACUUGCAAAAAGUCCUCACCGGAGUAUUUUCUAGUAAAGACCCUCCGAUGCUCAAGUCAAAAGAUGGAGAACAAUGAGAAGGAGAAAGUAGGGG